UACGUAGGGUGCAAGCGUUGUCCGGAAUUAUUGGGCGUAAAGAGCUCGUAGGCGGUGUGUCGCGUCGGCCGUGAAAACCUGGGGCUUAACUCUGGGCGUGCGGUCGAUACGGGCAUCACUGGAGUUCGGCAGGGGAGACUGGAAUUCCUGGUGUAGCGGUGAAAUGCGCAGAUAUCAGGAGGAACACCGGUGGCGAAGGCGGGUCUCUGGGCCGAUGACUGACGCUGAGGAGCGAAAGCAUGGGGUAGCGAACAGGG
rnacentral:rRNA from 1 species